rnacentral:rRNA from 1 species
UGGCCAUCCGAGUUGUAAUCUAGAGAAGUGUUACCCGCGUCGGACCGUGUACAAGUCUCCUGGAAUGGAGCGUCAUAGAGGGUGAGAAUCCCGUCUUUGACACGGACUACCGAGGCUUUGUGGUGCGCUCUCAAAGAGUCGAGUUGUUUGGGAAUGCAGCUCAAAAUGGGUGGUAAAUUCCAUCUAAAGCUAAAUAUUGGCGAGAGACCGAUAGCGAACAAGUACCGUGAGGGAAAGAUGAAAAGAACUUUGGAAAGAGAGUUAAACAGUACGUGAAAUUGCUGAAAGGGAAACGCUUGAAGUCAGUCGCGUUGGCCGGAAAUCAGCCUUGCUUUUGCUUGGUGUACUUUCUGGUUGACGGGCCAGCAUCAGUUUUGACCGGUGGAAAAAGUCUGGAGGAAGGUGGCAUCUUCGGAUGUGUUAUAGCCUCUGGUCGUAUACAUCGGUUGGGACUGAGGAACUCANCACGCCGCAAGGCCGGGUCUUUGACCACGUUCGUGCUUAGGAUGCUGGCAUAAUGGCUUUAAUCGACCCGUCUUGAAACACGGACCAAGGAGUCUAACAUGCCUGCNAGUGUUUGGGUGGAAAACCCGAGCGCGUAAUGAAAGUGAAAGUUGAGAUCCCUGUCAUGGGGAGCAUCGACGCCCGGACCAGAAGUUUUCUGACGGCCCUGCGGUAGAGCAUGUAUGUUGGGACCCGAAAGAUGGUGAACUAUGCCUGAAUAGGGUGAAGCCAGAGGAAACUCUGGUGGAGGCUCGUAGC